UUGAUSUCAAAUCAGGUAGGACUACCCCGCUGAACUUAAGCAUAUCAAAUAAGCGGAGGAA
rnacentral:rRNA from 1 species